GCAUGGCUGAAUUCUGUGUUACUCUGUCUAAUAGUAAUUGCAGUCAGACACCAUGCAAAAUCAGCACUCUCUCUGCUUCUGAAUAGUGAUGAAACUGUCUCAUCACACAUGCAAGAGAGAGCACAUAC